GUAAGGGGCAAGCGUUGUCCGGAAUCACUGGGCGUAAAGCGCACGUAGGCGGCUUGGCAAGUCAGGGGUGCAAGCUCUAGGCUUUAACCUAGAAACUGCCUCUGAAACUACCUCGCUUGAGGGUCUGAGGGGAAACUGGAAUUCACGGUGUAGCGGUGAAAUGCGUAGAUAUCGUGGAGAACACCCGUGGCGAAGGCGGGUUUCUGGCAGACUUCUGACGCUGAGGUGCGAAAGCUAGGGGAGCGAACGGGAUUAGAUACCCCGGUAGUCCUAGCCGUAAACGAUGGGUACUAGGUGUGGGGAUUAACAUCUCCGUGCCGACGCCAACGCAUUAAGUACCCCGCCUGGGGACUACGGCCGCAAGGUUA
rnacentral:rRNA from 1 species